rnacentral:rRNA from 1 species
UAGUCCACGCUGUAAACGAUGAUCACUCGUUGUUGGCGAUACACAGUCAGCGACUAAGCGAAAGCAUUAAGUGAUCCACCUGGGGAGUACGAUCGCAAGAUUGAAACUCAAAGGAAUUGACGGGGGCCCGCACAAGCGGUGGAACAUGUGGUUUAAUUCGAUGAUACGCGAGGAACCUUACCUGGGCUUAAAUGCAGACCGACGUUCGCCGAAAGGUGAAUUUCUUCGGACGUUUUGCAAGGUGCUGCAUGGUUGUCGUCAGCUCGUGCCGUGAGGUGUCGGGUUAAGUCCCAUAACGAGCGCAACCCUUAUUGUUAGUUACCAUCGAGUAAUGUCGGGGACUCUAACGAAACUGCCGGUGUAAACCGUGAGGAAGGUGGGGAUGACGUCAAAUCAGCACGGCCCUUAUGUCCAGGGCUACACACGUGUUACAAUGGCCAGUACAAAGGGCAGCUACCUGGUGACAGGAUGCAAAUCUCUAAAACUGGUCUUAGUUCGAUCGGAGU